GCAGAAGAAGAGGAACAAGGAGUCUGGGGAAAUAAAACUUUUUUUUUUUUUCCCAAGAACUUACUCAGUGCUAGAGUUCAUUUAUAGGAAAGUGGAGUUCCUAUGGAGAGGACAGGGGCCUCUUUCUCAGAGGUCUUGCUCCCCGCAGCUUGCUGGGGUUUGGCGGGCUUUUUUGGAACUACUGCAAAUGGUUCACCAGUCCCUUCCAGUCUUGAUCCUUUCACACCUGGCUAAAUCUUCAAGCAGUCAGCCACGAAGAAGACUGUUCUACAAGAGAAGAAACACGGGCUUUGGGUCGGCCAUCUUGCUCUGCCACUUGGGUGUGCAGUGACCUUGGGAAAUUACUUAACCAUUAUGGCCUCUGUAAAAUGGAAAUAAAAAGGAACUUCUUCCAAAGAUCAUUGCAAUGAUUUAAAAUAUGAUGCCUAAAUAAUGAAAACAUGCCUAGAACCUUGUGUACAGUUAGUAAAUGUCAAUUAUUGUCAAUUUUAUAACUUUUGAUUGACAAAGGCUUCAGACAAAGGAGAGGGCAGUGGGGGCUUGGUAUUUUCAUGAAAGAUUUCUUGGAGGUUGCUUUUCUGCAAACAUUGAAUUAAAAGAAGACUUCUUUGGAGAAGAGAGACUGCAUUUAGAUCUUGAAGGAUGAAAAGAUUUAGCUGGACAGAGAUGACUCCUUGGGUUGGGCUGAUGUAUUGAAGGUGCUAUCUGGCCACUGGGUGCUGAGAGGUGUCAGAUAUAUAUCUGUUCUCCCCUGGAAAAUAAUUUCUGCUGCCAGUGCUAUGCAGCUUAGCAUGCUCUUCUGAGUGAAGCUUGUAGGGUUGAAGCUAUACUUCUGUCUUUACCUACACCAUCUCCUUCUUCUCUCAUCACAUCUUCUCUUGAUAGGCUUCUCCCCAUCUUCUCUCAGUGGGCUCAAACACU
rnacentral:lncRNA from 1 species